CUGCUUUUGUACGGAACGAAAAAGCCUUGGCUAAUACCCAGGGAUCCAUGACGGUACCGUAAGAAUAAGCACCGGCUAACUACGUGCCAGCAGCCGCGGUAAUACGUAGGGUGCGAGCGUUAAUCGGAAUUACUGGGCGUAAAGCGUGCGCAGGCGGUUUUGUAAGACAGAUGUGAAAUCCCCGGGCUCAACCUGGGAACUGCCUUUGUGACUGCANGGCUAGAGUGCGGCAGAGGGGGAUGGAAUUCCGCGUGUAGCAGUGAAAUGCGUAGAUAUGCGGAGGAACACCGAUGGCGAAGGCAAUCCCCUGGGCCUGCACUGACGCUCAUGCACGAAAGCGUGGGGAGCAAACAGGAUUAGAUACCCUGGUAGUCCACGCCCU
rnacentral:rRNA from 1 species